GGGUUCCAACACUGUAUCCAAAGCAUUGCGAAACAUUCGAAACGAUUAACGGACCUCACUAUCUAGUCCAACACCAUACUUCGGUCAAUUUGACUGAAGUUCGGUACAACCUACUGAAGUUUCGGUAUAUUACAUUCUCCACCCCUUAAAGAUAGUUUCAUCCGCGAAACUCGAUUCCAUACCUUAGCUCAUCCACUCGAACAAGUGAGGAUAA
rnacentral:lncRNA from 1 species